AGGGAUAUAGUUUAGUGGGAAAGCACCUGCUUAGGAUGCACAGGCCCUGGGUUCGAGCCCCAACAUCUCUC
rfam:Ictidomys tridecemlineatus contig059891, whole genome shotgun sequence.